rnacentral:rRNA from 1 species
UACGAAGGGGGCUAGCGUUGCUCGGAAUUACUGGGCGUAAAGGGCGCGUAGGCGGACAGUUUAGUCAGAGGUGAAAGCCCAGGGCUCAACCUUGGAAUUGCCUUUGAUACUGGCUGUCUUGAGUUCGGGAGAGGUGAGUGGAAUGCCGAGUGUAGAGGUGAAAUUCGUAGAUAUUCGGCGGAACACCAGUGGCGAAGGCGACUCACUAACCCGAUACUGACGCUGAGGCGCGAAAGCCAGGGGAGCAAACGGG